AUUGAACGCUGGCGGCAGGCCUAACACAUGCAAGUCGAACGAGUGGCGGACGGGUGAGUAAUGUCUGGGAAACUGCCUGAUGGAGGGGGAUAACUACUGGAAACGGUAGCUAAUACCGCAUACCAUCAGAUGUGCCCAGAUGGGAUUAGCUUGUUGGUGGGGUAACGGCUCACCAAGGCGACGAUCCCUAGCUGGUCUGAGAGGAUGACCAGCCAACCUGGAACUGGGACAGGGUCCAGACACCUACGUGAGGCAGCAGUGGGGAAUAUUGCACAAUGGACGCAAGCCGUAUGCAGCCAUGCCGCGUGUAUGAAGAAGGCCUUCGGAUUGUAAAGUACUUUCAGCAGGGAGGCUUUACCCGAAGAAGAAGCACCGGCUAACUCCGUGCAAGCCGCCGCUGUAAUAC
rnacentral:rRNA from 1 species